rnacentral:rRNA from 1 species
AGUGAACGCUGGCGGUAGGCCUAACACAUGCAAGUCGAACGGCAGCACAGUAAGAGCUUGCUCUUACGGGUGGCGAGUGGCGGACGAGUGAGGAAUACAUCGGAAUCUACUUUUUCGGGGGGGAUAACGUAGGGAAACUUACGCUAAUACCGCAUACGACCUACGGGUGAAAGCAGGGGAUCUUCGGACCUUGCGCGAUUGAAUGAGCCGAUGUCGGAUUAGCUAGUUGGCGGGGUAAAGGCCCACCAAGGCGACGAUCCGUAGCUGCUCUGAGAGGAUGAUCGGCCACACUGGAACUGAGACACGGUCCAGACUCCUACGGGAGGCAGCAGUGGGGAAUAUUGCACAAUGGGCGCAAGCCUGAUCCAGCCAUGCCGCGUGAGUGAAGAAGGCCUUCGGGUUGUAAAGCCCUGUUGUUGGGAAAGAAAAGCAGCGUGUUAAUACCCCGCUGUUCUGACGGUACCCAAAGAAUAAGCACCGGCUAACUUCGUG